GAUGAACGCUAGCUACAGGCUUAACACAUGCAAGUCGAGGGACCGGCGCACGGGGGAGUAAAACGUAUCCAACCUGCCCUUUACUCGGGGAUAGACUUUCGAAAGAACGAUUAAUACCCGAUAUAAAGGAUGGGGAUGCGUGCCAUUAGGUUGUUGGUGAGGUAACGGCUCACCAAGCAGUCGAUGGAUAGGGGUUCUGAGAGGAAGGUCACCUCCCUUGGAACGGAGACACGGUCCAAACUCCUACGGGAGGCAGCAGUGAGGAAUAUUGGUCAAUGGGCGCUAGCCUGAACCAGCCACGUAGCGUGAAGGAUGAAGGCUUAUGGGUCGUAAACUUCUUUUAUAUAAGAAUAUGUAUUAUAUGAAUAAGGAUCGGCUAACUCCGUGCCAGCAGCCGCGGUAAUAC
rnacentral:rRNA from 1 species